rnacentral:tRNA from 1 species
AGCUCCGAGGUGUACGGCACAUAAGAUUGCAAAUCUUAAAGCGCAGGAUAGGACCUGCCGGGGCUU